AUUGAACGCUGGCGGCAGGCUUAACACAUGCAAGUCGAGCGAGCGGCGGACGGGUGAGUAAUGUCUGGGAAACUGCCUGCUGGAGGGGGAUAACUACUGGAAACGGUAGCUAAUACCGCAUACCAUCUGAUGUGCCCAGAUGGGAGUAGCUAGUAGGUGGGGUAACGGCUCACCUAGGCGACGCUCCCUAGCUGGGCUGAGAGUAUGACCAGCCACACUGGAACUGAGACACGGUACAGACUCCUACGGGAGGCAGCAGUGGGGAAUAUUGCACAAUGGGCGCAAGCCUGAUGCAGCCAUGCCGCGUGUAUGAAGAAGGCCUUCGGGUUUUAAAGUACUUUCAGCGAGGAGGCGUUACUCGCAGAAGAAGCACCGGCUAACUCCGUGCCAGCAGCCGCGGUAAUUC
rnacentral:rRNA from 1 species